rnacentral:lncRNA from 1 species
GCGAUGUCCCGCCAGGAAGGGGAAACUCAAAAAAAAAAAAAUAAAAUUAUAAAUUCUGGCUAAUUGACAAAUGUACCUUUCAUCUCCAACUUAAAGUAGUGUUUAAUUGGUAUAUUUAGAACAUUUCUUCUACAUUGCAAAUUCUUAAAUUAUAAUUAUAGGAUUAACUUGCUCUUCUUUCUACUUUUUACUUACAGACUUCUGACAGUAACUAUAAUACAAGAUCAUACUACUGUUUUAUUAGUAGCUUGUUAUAAAAGAUUACACAUACAGAGAUCAGCACUAGAAAGGUAACUGGGCUAAGAAGACAACCAAUAUUUUGGCCCUGGCCUUCCAAGGUCAACAAAGAUCCAGGACAUGACGGAACCUUUUCUAUAUUUUUUUGGUAAGUCACUCAAUCUCCUGAGCAGGGAG